rnacentral:RNase_P_RNA from 1 species
AGGAGACCGUGGGCGGCUGACGGUGCUUAUGCGCUGAGGAAAGUCCCCCCUCCACUUCAAGUGUGGAUCGACGCAAGUCGGUGGCUCGAGAGGGUCGGCAAGGGCGCAGAAACGACACAGCCCGCAAUUAGGAUGAAUCGGUUGCCGAGGACGUUGUUGCGGGAUCUGGUGAGACGGCGACACCCCACUGGAGCAAGUCCAAAUUGUGGUAGGACGCUAAGUCGAAUGCCGCUUAAAACAGAAGGGGGCUUACGGCGGUGACCU